rnacentral:rRNA from 1 species
UACAGAGGGUGCAAGCGUUGUUCGGAAUUAUUGGGCGUAAAGCGCGUGUAGGCGGCUUGGCAAGUCGGGUGUGAAAUCCCUCAGCUCAACUGAGGAAGUGCGCCCGAAACUGCUGAGCUUGAGUGCCGGAGAGGGUAGCGGAAUUCCCCAAGUAGAGGUGAAAUUCGUAGAUAUGGGGAGGAACACCGGUGGCGAAGGCGGCUACCUGGACGGUAACUGACGCUGAGACGCGAAAGCGUGGGUAGCAAACAGG